UAUCUGUGUGUAUUGACGCUAAUUGCUAGUUCACAUAGGCUGCGUAAGGGUUGCGUAAGCGUAGACGUAGCGCAUACCAUUGCAUUGUAAUGUGUGGAACUGUAUGAAACAUGGCACACCGCUUGCGUAAAGCGUGGAGGUAUGCGUAACCCGGUGUGUUAAGGGUU